rnacentral:lncRNA from 1 species
GCUAUGUCUUCUCUCAGGGAGAGUGACUAGUCUCGAGUCAUUGGUGUGUGUGACAUCAAGAUAAGUACGUAGGUGCUCAGUAGAGAAUGAGUUCACUGAACGCGAUCAACGAAGAGUUCUCCAUACUCAUGUCACAUGAGAACUCAUGGUUGGGAUAAUGCAAAAGUAGUCUUUUGACCUGAGGCAUCACAGUUGUCUUGUGGUUAAGUCCUUGAUCUUUGAUUAUGUCAAAGUCACCCCAUCGGGGUGUCCAUGGCAUCGUUGGGUUAAGCCACUUAACCAUGGAGGCAAGUGAAUGCGCAACAAGGGAUCUCUAACCUUCAAACUGUUUGAGGGAGAAUACUCUAUGAUAU